CCCACCACUAACACCAUCUCCUCCUCCUUCUCUCUUCAACAAGAAAAAAAAAAGCCAUUUACAGGGGGUGAUGUGCAACUAAUUAAAGGCAGACUGGCAGCGUCUGCAAAUUCUAAGGCUCCCCAAAUAAAAAGAGACUGGGCGCCUUCUCAUCAGGACUUGAAGUUUUUGCACUUGGAGUUUGGGCAUAAAUGGCUCAUUAAUCUAAUUAUAAGCAUAAUUGCUAUAAUUGAUAUCCAUUUUGAACUGAAUAUUUGAGACUGAGACUGCUGGGCCCCCAUUUGAAAUUCCCUGA
rnacentral:lncRNA from 1 species